rnacentral:lncRNA from 10 species
CUUAAGGACUUGAAAACCAUCUCUGAAAUGUCACCAUCAAGAUGAUAGUGCCCCUAUCUCCCAGUUCCUGUGACAGGCAGGGGCCUAAGUUCUGCAGGCACUCUCCUCAAGUUGCAACACUUCUCCUGUCAUAAAUAUAUGAGAAAUUUAUUUUUCCUGUGCGUAAAUCCAGUUAGCAAGUGCAGAUGGCCUCCUGAAUGACCAGGUGCAUCUAAGACAAACUAUAUGUGACAAAUGGUGCUGUCAAGUACUGUUAACUUAAGCACUAGUUAAGUUUAUGCUGAGAACAUGUAUGUAACGGGCUGUAUCUGCCUGCCUGUAUAAAAGGGAGAGAUGUAUUUCUAUCUUGGCAAUCUCUUAGCUUCACAUUCUGGUUUACUGUUUAUUCAAUAAUAAAACUAUUUCCUUUCUUUUUUUAUUUUUGUGAAGAGGUUUCCUUAGUUGGCAGGAGACUUAGUUUUUAUUUGUAUUUCCCCAGCAGUGUGUAUAUAUGUAUAUGUGUAUGUUUAUGUGAGAUGAUAUUGCACACAUGGAUCUAAUCAUCAAAAAACAUGCAUGUAUCAUACAGUACUUGGCUCUGAGGAUGUAACGGUAACAAAAAAGACAAAAUCCUUGUUAAACUACAUAUGCUCUAGAGAAAACAGACCCAAAAUAAUAUAUGUAAUAUUGCAUGGAUAGCAAUAAGUACAUGGAGAAAAAAAUAAAACAGGGAAUAAAGAGAGACAGGGAUUGCCUCAUUAGACUGUUAGAAAUUAUAAAUGGUGUGGUCAGAAUCUGACUCACUGAGAAAUGUGGUAUUUGAGGAAAGACAAAUGAAGACAGACACAUACAGAAGUACAUAGUAGAAGUAAACAUCAAGCAGAGAGAAGAUUGUCAAGAACCUGAGGUAGGCAAAUGCCUAGCAUCCUUGACAAAUAGCAAGGUCAGCAGAGAUUUCAAGGGAAAGACAGAGAUACUGGGAGGGAAUAGAGGCAAAUUCAAUGUGGCAUUGUUAAUAUGGCUGAAAUGCCUAUACCAAUUUAAGUUCUUAAAGCAGUAUUUAGGAGAUUCUUAAAAUUCCUAUUUCCUAUCAUUAACAUAAGGAUAGUGUUGAAUGAUAGUCCCUAAAUAGAAAUUGUAUCAUUUUUGUUUCUUUGUUUCGCCAGUCUAUUUGAGGAAAAUCACAUUUUUAUGGCUUUCAUAAAAUCAAGUUAGAGCACAUUUUAUAGAUAUUUUGGGUUUGUAUAAUUCUUGUAUAUGUUUGUUUGAAGAAUUUGUUCAUUAAUCUAUUGAGAUCCUGACUUCUUCCUAAUUAUUCACGAAGAAAAAUAUUAAGAGGUGGGAAUUAUCAGACACUGACCAAAACAUUAGGUUUUUUCUGAUAUUUGAAAUAUCAAAAAGGAACUGUGCAAAUUCUAUUAUAUUAUUCAUUUGCAUUUUCAAUCUAUAUAUUCUCUGUAUAUUUUCUGUAAAUAAAGUUAGUGUUGAAAUUUUUAUUUAAAAUAGGCUAAUUAGCAUGUGUUAAAAGUUUAGUUUGAUAAUUGUCCUUGGAUUUCUGGACAAAUUGCUAAUAUUGAGAUUAAUUUUAAUAGUGAUUAAUUGAAAUUAUCUUUUUGGUUGAAAAUAGCUGUUCACACAGAGAAAGCUCUGAUGGUUAAUCACCGGCCACAAACACUUGUGAGCUUUUAUUCACUCUUAAGAGCAGCAAAAGCACUAGAGCUCGCAUGUCCACACUAGGAAAGAAUUAAAAUGAGGACAAUCAGCCUGUUUCUUUGGAUGAAGAGAAAACCACCAUUUUUCAAACCAGUUAACAAAACAAUAUUUCUGUCUAACUUUUUACUUUCACCUCAACUUUGGGGCUUCCUCUUCCAUAAAGAAAAAUGCACACACACAUACACAUACAAAUAUAUAUAUAUACUUUUUUCUGCUUCUCAGGAAAUAGGCAUGACAGUUUUUACUCUGCUAUUUUGAAGAAACUCCCCAUGCAUUAGGUUUUGCAACAUUACACCUAGGUACUCACUGUAUGUAAUUAAUGCACAGUGUUUUUGAAACUCUUGUUAACACAUCUUCUUUCACUUGCUGGCCUACCCUGUACUACUCACCAUUGCGUAGCUCAGAAGGAUGGCAGGUAGAUGUAAAAAUUCCAGAAAGGAGUUUUCUCAAAAGAACAUUUUAUUUGUAAGAGGUACCAUUUGAGUUACAAUAAAGCAUUCUUGAUUUUGAUGAUCUGGUAUUUACUGCUCUUUCACAAAAUCAAAGAAGUCUGUGUCAAUGUCCUUAUCAAAUAUCAUUGCAUCAUAUAUACAUGGCAUGCAUGCUGCCAUGGCAUAUUUGUGGCAUAUAUGUUAGAGGCUUGAUUUUUACAGACAAUUAGGUUUUUGAUAUGAAAUCAAGGAUAGACCAAACCUGCCCUAAUUUAAACAUGGAGAAACAAAGUACAAUGAACAGAGUUCUCAGCAUCCUAAGAUGUAUGAAAAAAAGUAUAGCAGUGAUGAGGUCCAGGACAACAAGUGAAGUAAGGAGCUAUCUCAAUGUAAUGGUAGAAAUAUUCAGUGUAUUCCACUGGAAGAGUUCAAGUUCUCCUGCAUGGUUGAGUUUAAUUUGUGCAAACCAUCAAUAUUGAGUCCUUUCUCUUGGAGACCACAGCACAAACAAUAGAAACUUGAGUUUGAUUUAGCAUUAGUGAAACAGAUUGUGUCAUAUGUAUGCAUUUAUAAUAAGAAACAUGGGAUAUUUAGAUAAAUAUUUCACUUGUAUUUCCUACACUAAAAUAACCUGUUAAUUGUAAAAGAUAGGGUAGGACAAAUAAUUUUUCUCUAUAGCCCCUAACUGACUUUGUCCCUUACAGCUCUUUCUCCCGCCACCUCCUGGACAUACGUGUAGCCCUUAACUGUUCCUCUAACCUUCUUGACAAUAUCUAAAUUGCCCAAACAAUGACGCUAAUCCAUAAGGUCAGAUUCUCCCUCUUCCAAGAACCAUCCUUGCCUAACUUUUCUCCAAAACUAGCAAAACUUUGACUUACUUAAUCCUGCUAAUACCCUAUAAAUCUUUCCUACAUCUGUGCCCAAAUUAGAACUAUCUUGUAGAAUCUUCAAAUAAAAGCUUUGACUGUCUUCCACAUAAAAAUAAAAACAAUGUAUAGUUUUUAUUUAGAAAAGUAAUAUUUAAAUAAUCAAAACAUAGAAAUAAUAAUACAAAAUGUAAAACUUAACAUGUAAAGAGUGUAUGGAAGUCCCCUACCUGAGUGCAGGGAAACAUUAUUUUGAAAUAGACAAAGACAAUUUGUAAUUCCAGGGUAUUAACUAUUAAGCUCAUUUGUGUUUCAUUUUCAGAAUAGAAAUUACCUGGAGCUAUUAUUCCGGACUAUUCUGAAGCUGAUUGCUACAUGAAAUAAAGGGUUGUUGAUAUGUUAAACAAAAAACAACAAAAACAAUGCAAAAAAACCCACAUGCCUACCACAUGAUCCACAUGAUCUUCUUAUAUCCAGGGUCACAUUAAGGAAAUAUUUUUAUGGUGUUAAAUCUUUCUUUUUCGUAUUUCCCAGCAGAAACCUGUUUGAGCUUUUCUUGUCAAAAAGCAUUGUUGAUGAUCUCUGGUUUCAGCCAAUUGCUUUCAAGCUACUCAGAAACCGCCAAAUAUAUCAUUUGAAAUUUGUCUAAAAAUUUAAUAUGCAUAUAAUUCACAUUAUAUGUGAUUGUUAUUAAAUUGAAGAUUUAAUUUUGCUAGUCUAGGUGUAUCUCAAUUUUCUGCAUUUCUAACAAACUUCCAAAUGAUGCCAAUGCUUCUAGAGCACCAGCCUUAUUUUUAAGGCUUUACUUGGACAGAACUAUUCAGCUCAAUUUCACACAUACGCUCCUAAUAGUCAUGUCCCAGUAUUCUAGUAGGCAUCUGGAAACCUGCUUCCUCACCAUAUUCUCUUUUGCCCAGCUUCCUCUGCCUUCCUGAUAGUUUACAUUUUCCUAUGGGUUUUCAUGCUUUCUUCCUUUUACACCUACUAUUGAUGCCUGUGUAAUAUGACACCUCCACUUAACAAACUGGAAAUUUCUUAAUUAUUUCGCACUGAGACCGUUAGUUAUAUUUGCAUCUGUAUAUGCACAGAAUACUAUACCUCACUUUUAUCAUCAUGCAUUGUACUAGUCAGUUUCUUGACCAGGAAUGUUUGAAUUAAUUGUAGUAUUCUUCAAAUUUAGGAAAACAUUUGGUAUAAGCCAGGAUAACAUGAACAUUUAUGUUUAAAUUUUUACUAAUUUAUGUGUUUACUAAAUGAAAAAUAAAGGGAAGAGAGAAAAUGGAAAUGGGAUUUUAGAGAUGAAAACAAUGGAGCUUGUUAUUUUUAAAGUAUACCCUAUAAAUGCUCAUUUUCAAUUUUACCUAAAGUGUCUAAAGUUAUUUUUACCCUGAGUUGUCUAGGUAAUAUGUGAUAUUCGUCUCCAUAGUUAGAUUUUACCCUGACUCCACAUUUCAACUCUUUCUCUAUUAGCUCAGGGAAUGUUCAAGCUAUCUUAUGAAAUAGGGACAGAUGAAUUAAAGGGACCCACGGACUUUGAUAAUAAAGAAGAAUAACAAGCUUCCACAAGAAUAGUAAUAGGCUUGCUCAAAAUCAAAUCUGCAUUUUAAUAAGAUCCAGAUACAAUGUGAAUGGAAGUUGAUGGUGACAGCCAAUCAUUUUAUGGUGGGCAUUCAUCUUCCACAAUUUCAGUGCUCUUCCUGCUUCACAAAAUGAAGGGAAAUGCUUCUUGGGAAGAUGAAGAGAUUCACCAAAUGAAAUAAGUUGAAUUGAAGAAAAUAGAAUGGAAUGCAGAAUUUCCACAUGCCUGUAAAAAUGAUCACUUCACAUACCAUUGCCAGGCUAAACCGCAUAGUUACCACCUAUGCAUCUAAAUAAUUUCAGUCCGUUUCUCAAUCAUAACAUUGAUCUUUAUUUAUCCGAAAAUAUUUUGUUGGCUAGUGUCUUAUAUUAUUAAAGUGACAGUUUGAAAAUCAGGUUAACUACAGAAUUGAGGACAUUAUAGUCAACUUACACUCCUCCUUCGAGGACUGUUUUACUCUUGCCCUUGUGUUUCAAACACCUUGCCAAACCCCAUUCUUUGUGAAUAAGAAAGUAUAUUGAGAGGAAUCACCUGUGAAGUAUAAUAAUAAAACGAUCUUUAAAUACAUGCAAACACCCAAUAGUCUUUGUUUCUCAUGUCUGCUCCAGGGAAGCUAUUAACUGGAAAUGAAGUAGAUUUAGACAAUUUUUUUUUAAAAAUAGCACUAAAGAUCAAGUGUUUAGAUUCUUGAACUAGACGUCAGUUUAUUGCUCUUUCAAAGUUCUCUGCUAUUGACAACAACAAAACAUACAGAUUUGAAAAACAUUUAUUUAGAUAUUAACUGCAUUCUUACAAAGCCAAUGACACAAGAAUCUAUACAAUAACAAAAGAAUUUCUGCCUUGGCAAAAAUAAAAUAUGCUUUUUUUCAAUGCAAAUAAUGUAAAUGUUUGCUACAAGAAACUAUUGAAUUGCUUCUCUCUAAGCAGCAGGGGAGUACUGAAACAUGAUUUUAG